rnacentral:rRNA from 1 species
AUGAUUAUAGGAGAUUUUAAUGAGAUAUUAGUUGCAAAUGAGAAGGAAGGUGGCGACAUCGUACCUUUAUACUUGUUGCAAAACUUCAGAGAUUGCAUAGAAGAGUCUGGUUUACAGGAAGUUAUGCACAUUGGCGACCCAUUCACAUGGAGUCGGGGGACGAUAAGGGAGCGCCUGGACAGAUCUCUAUGUAAUGAGAAGUGGUCUGAAAAAUUUCCCUAUGCAGGUGUGGUACGUGAGCAUCAUACCCAUUCAGAUCAUUGA